rnacentral:piRNA from 1 species
CUGUAGUUGGGGGUGUUCUCU